rnacentral:rRNA from 1 species
GAUGAACGCUGGCGGCGUGCCUAAUACAUGCAAGUCGAGCGAACGGACGAGAAGCUUGCUUCUCUGAUGUUAGCGGCGGACGGGUGAGUAACACGUGGAUAACCUACCUAUAAGACUGGGAUAACUUCGGGAAACCGGAGCUAAUACCGGAUAAUAUUUUGAACCGCAUGGUUCAAAAGUGAAAGACGGUCUUGCUGUCACUUAUAGAUGGAUCCGCGCUGCAUUAGCUAGUUGGUAAUGUAACGGCUUAUCAAGGCAACGAUGCAUAGCCGACCUGAGAGAGUGAUAGGCCACACUGGAACUGAGACAGGGUCCAGACUCCUACGGGACGCAGCAGUAGGGAAUCGUACGCAAUGGGCGAAGGCAUGACGGAGCAACGCCGCGUGAGUGAUGAAGGUCUUCGGAUCGUAAAACUCUGUUAUUAGGGAAGAACAUAUGUGUAAGUAACUGUGCACAGAUUGACGGUACCUAAUCAGAAAGCAACGGCUAACUACGUG